AAUGAAAUUUCUGAAGGACGCGUUCCGAGUACGCUGGAUGAAUUGCCUCUUUGAAUUGUCAAACUCACCCUUUGUCGAAAGAAAUAGAGUGAUCUGGAUUCGCCAGUCACGUUGACCAUUCUUCUGCCCAAAUCAAGUGAAAAAUCUCUGGCUUCGUUUGACCAACCAUCAAAACAAUCCACUGCGAAGGCCACAAACCA